GUUAUGCUUGAUUAUUAUUGCUGUACUUCGGUGUUUGCGGUGGGUCAGGCGAAGACGGCAACCUUGCGCGGAUGUACUUGAGAAAGUCGGCUUUUGGGAAGUGGAUCAGGGAAAUUAUCGUCUACUCCGGAUUUACAGACGCCGGAAACAGCGACGGACCCUGAGGUUCAUCACACUGCUGAGCCGAGUAAUCACUGGAAACCGUGUGGAACGAAGGGUUUGGAUGAGAGAGCGGAGCGAACACUGGUGGCUUUAUAUAGUACGAGAGACAUUCAACCCUCAGCAAUGGAUCGAAAACUUCAGAAUGAGCUACAGAACCUUCAAAUGGCUUUGUGAGUCGCUCAGGCCUCAUGUCUCCAAGGCAGAAACGAAGAUGCGACAGCCUAUUCCUGUGGAGCAGAAAGUUGGUGCUGUCUUGUGGUUUCUUGGAACCACAUCAGAUUAUCGGACCAUUGCUCACCUUUUCGGAAUAUCCAGAGCCUCACUGUGCAUGUUUGUCAAGGAUGUUUGUGAAGCAAUAUUUUUUCAUCCGACACCACAGUUCAUAAAGCCACCCACUGAUAUAGAGGCUAGAAAUAUUAUGGAGUCAUUUAAAGAAAAAUGGGGAUAUCCGACUUGCAUAGGUGCUUUUGAUGGCUCACACAUACCCAUUGUCGCCCCCAAGGAGA